GGUUUCCUGAGGCCUAUUCUGUCCAAAUGCUAAUAUUGCAAAAUAUUUUGAGAAGUUGCUAAGAUGCUGCUAAACCUCAUUUAGAUUAAUUACCAAGAGAAUCAUAAUUCAAAUAAAGGUAUAAGAAUAAACAAGGGUUUGUUUUAGGAAUCAUAUCAUGACCUUGCCUUGCAGAAGAAUCUUCUUUUUCCAACAAAUUUCUCUGUUAUCAUUGGUUAUAUGGUGAUCAUAUCCAAGGAAGAUGACCUCCUUCUCCUCCUCUAUACUUAUAGUUGGUAGCACAUUAAGCCAGGAGUUUAGACUGCAUUUUGCAUUUUUAUCACUGUGAAAUUCAGCUGGUUCUAUCCAGCUUGCACAAACCAGUAGCGCUGGCAGCAGGAGGUUCUGCCCACCCGCCGGGACAUCAUUACGUCCUGCUUUUGACCCUCUGCACAUGCGCAGAAGAAGCAUGCACGCUCACAUUCCCAAAACGGUAGAGAAGUUAGCUGCCUAAGUUGUGUACCUGACAGUCAGACCACUGAAGAAGAACAAUAAAGUCCUUUGAUUUCGAUAUUCACAGAAGGUUGUAAAAGAUGAUCAGAAAACCCUGGGACACCGCAACCGUCAGAAAUAUGACUCAGCUGCCAAGAAUAUGAAUUUUGAUCAUGUGACCGUGAGGAUGCUGCUGCAGUCCAACGUCUCAUACUCUGUCCAAAUUUGCAAGAGGACCUAGCGGCAAUAUCAUCCCAAUCAUUUUAAUUUUGUUUUCAGCUUCACAGUUUUGCCAUUUGAAAGCUUGAUGAAACAACUGUCUCAUUUUUGUACUUAGGAUGAUCAGACUUUUUUAAAAAAUCUCAUAAUCAGACUUUAGAAUAUUACUUUGAACUUACUGUAGUAAGAAUUUGCAUCUGAGUCCUUAAAAAUGUGUAUCUGAUAUGAUAAAACAAAACAUAACCUCAGCUAUGGAUAUUUGUCAUUUGGUUAUCUCAGCUGUCUAACUUUGUGGUCUGACAUUAAGACAGCUUCCUAUUGCUCUGGGAUGUUGUUCAGAAAAAUAGGGGCUUGCAACAUUAGUAAGUUUGUUUGCAAAAUAUAAUUCCAAUUUCUCAUCAGGAUCCAAAAGCUGCAAAAUAUUAGAAAAGGUGUUAAGGUACUAAAGUACUUAUUUAGAGGGGAGAACAGAUAUCCUUUAUAUAUUUUCUUAUUUUUUUUCUAUCUGUUUGCACUUCUUUUUCUAUAUUUUGCUUAUAAAGACUUAUAUUUGUAAAAGACCAAAAGCUGCAUGAAGUCUUUCCCCAAAAUCAAGGCCCAACCCAGUGGUGGGUUUCAAAUUUUUUUACUACUGGUUCUGUGGGUGUGGCUUGGUGGGCGUGGCAUGGCUUGGUGGGCAUGGCAGGGGAAGGAUACUUUAAAAUCUCCAUUCCCUUCCCAAUCCAGGGGAAGGGUACUGUAAAAUCCCCAUUUCCUACCAAUCAGCUGGGACUCAGGAGGCAGAGAAUAGAUGGGGGCGGGGCCAGUUAGAAUUUUAACUACCGGUUCUCCGAAAGACUCAAUCUUUCUGCUACCAGUUCUCCAGAACUGGUCAGAACCUGCUGAAACCCACCUCUGGCCCAACCACAUUUUUGUUUUGUUCAUAUUUCUCAUGAUUAGCACUAACACAGAUGCACUAUGUAGUAUGUUUCUAUUAUCAGGGGAAACUACUGUAGAAAAUCAGGCAACAAAGUUUUAAUUGCCACUACUCCAAAGUGUUGUAACUCUCAUUUGACCGUAGGCUUUUCCUUCUGCCUAUCAAAACUUGGAUUAAAAGUUUAGGAAGGAAAUUCUAUCUCCAGCUUUUAGGAAUGUAGUAGCCUGGUUCCAGCAACAUUUUACAAUAACAUUUCUUGAGGAGGAACUAGAAUUAAUUUAUAAUAGCUAAUAUAAUAGCUUAUAAUAGCUAUUUUGUUUUAAAGGUGAAUAUAGCAACUAAUCACCAAAUAUGCUCAGACUUUUUCAAGCUGUAUUGAGUAGAAGAGUUGUAGAAGAAACGCCAUGUUGUAAGUAGUUUUGCAAGCUAGAGAAGACCUUUAGAUAUAAUAUAUGUCUGAGCCACCAAGACCACAAGUGAACUACAAGUAUCCAUUAACUCUGAAAGGUGAGAGGAAAAGUCUGACUUUUACAUUCUGGAGGAGCACAGACAUAUAUUCCUUUCCCAGCAUUAAAGCUUUUUCCAGAGACCUGAGUCUUUGCACAAUUUCCAUAAUAUAUUAGGUUAAAAUGUGAUUGGCCAGUUUGUGACUCGGUGUAUCUUGCAAGUCACAAAAUGACAAAUAGGAGUAAGUUAUUGUACCUUGGCAAUGUAGGCUCUGUGCUCUCUACCAUGGACAUACUAAAGAGGUAUUCUCCUUCAAUAAUGGAAAAGAACAUUGCAAAUCCAAGAACUCAAAUUAAAUCCAUAUCAUCUCCAAGCAAGGCAUGAGGGAAAAUUCUCUGUCUGAAAUCCAGGAGAACUGCUGUCAUUCAAUGUGCAAAUGAGAACUUACGGUUCCUGGUCAAUGUUUAGCCUAAGGCAACCUUAUAUGUGUAGAGUAUUUUGCAUUACUUACUGAAUAUUGUCAUUAAAACAUGUUUAUAUCCUGUUGUGGUUGUUUUCCUAGUACUCCC